GAUAAUGGCAGCAAAGUUAUUUUGUAGCACAUUAUUACAGAUAUAUAUUUCCACGAGUUAUUCAGUGAAAUUUCAGUUACCAACUAAAAAUGUUUGUACAUUACCUUUUAUUUUUUUUACUUCUAAAAGAAUGUUUAUUGAUUGACCUAUGCGAAAAAUCUGAAAAUUGUAAAGAGUGUAUAAGAAAUCCGAAUGUUUGCGUUUGGUGUGCUGCUAAAGCGUUUAACCGUACCAGAUGUAUCCCUCGUUCUUCGUAUGAGGCAGAUUGGUGUCCUGAGCCGGUACCAGUCAAUGAACUCUCGAGUAGUAUAAUGAUUGAAUCGAACGAGAACAAACAAAUCAAACCGUUGAAAUACGAAAUGAAACUUCGUAUAGGUGAACCACAAAAGUUCAAUUUCACCUACGAUUUCAAGGACAAUCCCGUUGAUGUGUAUUUCUUGUUGGAUGCCUCCGCUAUGAUGGGAACGAAAAUAAAGAAUAUUGCAAGCAAAGCCGACGGCCUUUACAAAACCCUGGAGACUCUGACGAACGACUUCACUUUAGGAGUGGGUACAUUUAUAGAUAAAAACACGUGGAAGGAGAAUGGUAAAGAAAGCUACUCAUUCGCUCAUGAAUUGAGUUUGACAAAAGACCAUCAGAAAUUCGUUACUGCUUUAGAAUCCACACCCACGGGCUACAAUCGUGAUCCGCCAACUGGAUGCUUGGACGCUAUAGCCCAGGCUAUUGUCUGCGAUAAGCUAAUUGGAUGGCGUGAAAAAUCUAGAAAGAUCAUAGUCGUUCUAACCAACAACAAUUACCAUGACGCCGGCGACGGAAGACUAUCCGGUAUAUUUGAGCCAUAUGACGGACAGUGUUACACGGAUUUAAAGAACAAAAGAUAUAAGAGAGAAUUGACAAUGGAUUACCCUAGCGUUGGCAUGAUUAAUAAACUUGUCGAUCAUUACAAAGUGACAGUACUGUUUCUAGUUGAAUCAACUGUGAAAUCAGCUUACCAGAGUUUGUCAGAUGUGAUAUCUGGUUCGUACAUAGACGACUGGGUCAAUGAACCGAUUAAUCCAUACGACACUACAGGUCAAACUUUAAAGAAAAUAUACAAGCAAAUCAUUGGAAACGUCACGCUGAACGUGGAUUUUAAAGCGAAAAAUAUUGAAAACGUGAAGAUACACUUAAGUCCUAACUGCACUAAAGGAAACUACGAUAAGAACUGCCUGGUCAAAACAGAUCAAUCUAUAAAAUUUGAAGGGUCAGUCGAGAUUCUUAACUACGACAGUGCGGACAAUGUUUCGGUCGAAUUUUCGGUACAAGGACUGGCUGAGAAAUUAUCAAUCGAUAUUGAUGUUAUAAGUGAUUGUCGGUGCGAAGGAAAUGAAAAAUCCUCGGGAUAUUGCAACGGCAGACCUCUUGAGUGCGGACAGUGCUUAUGUGACGACGGAAACUCUGCAUGUAAUUUCGAAGGAAGCAUUUGCAGCGGUCACACGUGUUUCUGCGGUAUCUGCCACUGUACCUAUCCAUACACAGGAAAAUACUGUGAAUGCAACAGUCUUGACUGUGAAAAAAUUACGAGCGGCAACGGUGAAUGUGUUGAUGGUAAAUGUCAAUGCAAAGACGAGUGGUCCGGGAUAACAUGUUCUUGUCCCAAAUCAAACAGCACGUGCAAGGGAAACGAUAAUCGCGUUUGCAACGAUUACGGUUUUUGCUUAUGCGGCAAGUGUGAAUGCCACGAAUUAAGCGACUGGGAUCCUCGGCAGCUAGAUUCACUGUGCGCCCUAUCUCCUUGCGCCGACUGUCACAAGAAGCAAUGUAUAAAACUUAGUAGUCACGUCCUACAUUUCAACAAUGAAGAUCUCAACGAAUACAGCCGUCCCUAUAUAAAAAUGAAUAGCAGUGAUUCGCUUGAAGACCCUUUGGAACCGAGUUGGAAUUUAUGCCCAGAACUGAGGAUGGAAAACGGCUGCUAUACGACUUUUGCAUAUAAAUAUCAAGAUGGUUACGGGAUCGAAUUAUUGAUACAGAAAAACAAGAAUUGCGAUGAGAAUAUUUUAAAGCUGGGCGUGAUAGUAUCUGUAACCGUCAUCUUGGUAGGGAUCGGAACAUUGGUUGUUUGGAAAUUGAUGACGAAGUAUCACGACAGGAAGGAGUACAUGGAACUGAUGAAACAGUACAAUCCAGAUCAAGGGGCCCGUACCAAUAAGCUGUACAUAGAUCCAUGUGUGACUUUCAAGAAUCCGUCUUAUAGAGCGGAUCCUAUUACGGAAAGCUAGAAACAGAAACUAGCCUUAGCUGUGUUUAUAAGAAGACAACACCGAGGAGCCUGGACAUUGCAAGCCAACGAAAUGGUUUGCAGGAAAUUGACAGAUAUCUCUUCCUAGAAUCUAUCAUCUAAACAUGUUUUUUAAUAGUUCAUAAUAAUUAGUAAUAAUAAUUUGUAGUUUAGAAUGUAUUAAUCAUAAUCAAUAUGUUAGAGCGUAAUUAUAAAAUCAUUGUAUUGUUAUCGGUCUUUGAUGCCUGUGUAAAUUUUCAAGUUAACAAGUAAUCUUGAAAUUCGCGAAAAUGACGGUCAAAGAUUCCAGUCGUAAAAACAAAGCUACUUGCAUAGUACUAAAUAAAAAAAUCAUGUUCAAAUGCAAUUAUUGUAAUUUAGCAAAAUUUGUAAUUAAAUAAUUUUAAAUACAAAUGUCAUAGGAUAUAUAUUUAUUUUGUAACUAAAUACAUGUAGAUAAAUCGCAAGCUCAAGCAGUGAAUCAUUCAGAAGUUCUUUUGUAGGCUAAAUCAUAUAGAUAGGUAUUCAGUUUUUUUUUUCUUUUCUAGGUUCACUUUUUCGCUUACAAUUUAAUUUCCUUAUGUAUACUUUUCGUUUCAAUACUACUUAAAUUAUAGAAUACUAGCGACCCGCCCUCACUUCGCUUUUUUGCAAACGGUAAUUUAUUAUUGAUUUCUUCACUAUUUAAUGGAUGUUAUUAUAAAUAUAAACCUUCCUCUUCAAUCACUCUAUCUAUUAAAAAAACCCGCAUCAAAAUCCGUUGCGUAAUUUUAAAGAUUUAAGCAUACAUAGGGAUAUAGGGACAGAGAAAGCGACUUUGUUUUAUACUAUGUAGUGAUAUAUAAUAAACUUUUAUGACGCA